rnacentral:lncRNA from 1 species
GCCCCUUGACACAUUCCUUGUCCCCUCUCCUAGGUCACCUCCGCGAAGCCCCCUCCCCGCUUAUGAUACAUUCCCCCCAGAUGUCACAGUUCCAGAGCCUGACCCACCAGUCUCCACCCCAGCAAAACGUCCAGCCUAAGAAACAGGAGCUGCGUGCUGCCUCUGUGGUCCAGCCCCAGCCCCUCGUGGUGGUGAAGGAGGAGAAGAUCCACUCACCCAUCAUCCGCAGCGAGCCCUUCAGCCCCUCGCUGCGGCCGGAGCCCCCCAAGCACCCGGAGAGCAUCAAGGCCCCCGUCCACCUGCCCCAGCGUG